CCUACGGGAGGCAGCAGUGGGGGAUAUUGCACAAUGGGGGCGAGCCUGAACCAGCCAAGUAGCGUGAAGGAUGACGGCCCUACGGGUUGUAAACUUCUUUUAUAAAGGAAUAAAGUGAGGCACGUGUGCCUUUUUGUAUGUACUUUAUGAAUAAGGAUCGGCUAACUCCGUGCCAGCAGCCGCGGUAAUACGGGGGAUGCAAGCGUUAUCCGGAUUUAUUGGGUUUAAAGGGUGCGUAGGCUGUGAGGGAAGUCAGCGGUGAAAUGCCCCCGCUCAACGGGGUGAAGUGCCAUUGAUACUGGCUUGCUUGACUGCGCGUGCCGUAGGAGGAAUGUGUGGUGUAGCGGUGAAAUGCAUAGAUAUCACGCAGAACACCGAUUGCGAAGGCAUCUCACGAAUCCGCGAUUGACGCUGAUGCACGAAAGCGUGGGUAUCAAACAGGAUUAGAUACCCCUGUAGUC
rnacentral:rRNA from 1 species